rnacentral:rRNA from 1 species
GAUGAACGCUGGCGGCGUGCCUAAUACAUGCAAGUCGAGCGAACAGACGAGGAGCUUGCUCCUCUGACGUUAGCGGCGGACGGGUGAGUAACACGUGGAUAACCUACCUAUAAGACUGGGAUAACCUCGGGAAACCGGAGCUAAUACCGGAUAAUAUAUUGAACCGCAUGGUUCAAUAGUGAAAGACGGUUUUGCUGUCACUUAUAGAUGGAUCCGCGCCGCAUUAGCUAGUUGGUAAGGUAACGGCUUACCAAGGCAACGAUGCGUAGCCGACCUGAGAGGGUGAUCGGCCACACUGGAACUGAGACACGGUCCAGACUCCUACGGGAGGCAGCAGUAGGGAAUCUUCCGCAAUGGGCGAAAGCUUGACGGAGCAACGCCGCGUGAGUGAUGAAGGUCUUCGGAUCGUAAAACUCUGUUAUUAGGGAAGAACAAAUGUGUAAGUAACUAUGCACGUCUUGACGGUACCUAAUCAGAAAGCCACGGCUAGCUACGUG